rnacentral:rRNA from 1 species
AAUGGGUCAGCGACUUAUAUUCUGUAGCAAGGUUAACCGAAUAGGGGAGCCGAAGGGAAACCGAGUCUUAACUGGGCGUUAAGUUGCAGGGUAUAGACCCGAAACCCGGUGAUCUAGCCAUGGGCAGGUUGAAGGUUGGGUAACACUAACUGGAGGACCGAACCGACUAAUGUUGAAAAAUUAGCGGAUGACUUGUGGCUGGGGGUGAAAGGCCAAUCAAACCGGGAGAUAGCUGGUUCUCCCCGAAAGCUAUUUAGGUAGCGCCUCGUGAAUUCAUCUCCGGGGGUAGAGCACUGUUUCGGCAAGGGGGUCAUCCCGACUUACCAACCCGAUGCAAACUGCGAAUACCGGAGAAUGUUAUCACGGGAGACACACGGCGGGUGCUAACGUCCGUCGUGAAGAGGGAAACAACCCAGACCGCCAGCUAAGGUCCCAAAGUCAUGGUUAAGUGGGAAACGAUGUGGGAAGGCCCAGACAGCCAGGAUGUUGGCUUAGAAGCAGCCAUCAUUUAAAGAAAGCGUAAUAGCUCACUGGUCGAGUCGGCCUGCGCGGAAGAUGUAACGGGGCUAAACCAUGCACCGAAGCUGCGGCAGCGACGCUUAUGCGUUGUUGGGUAGGGGAGCGUUCUGUAAGCCUGUGAAGGUGUGCUGUGAGGCAUGCUGGAGGUAUCAGAAGUGCGAAUGCUGACAUAAGUAACGAUAAAGCGGGUGAAAAGCCCGCUCGCCGGAAGACCAAGGGUUCCUGUCCAACGUUAAUCGGGGCAGGGUGAGUCGACCCCUAAGGCGAGGCCGAAAGGCGUAGUCGAUGGGAAACAGGUUAAUAUUCCUGUACUUGGUGUUACUGCGAAGGGGGGACGGAGAAGGCUAUGUUGGCCGGGCGACGGUUGUCCCGGUUUAAGCGUGUAGGCUGGUUUUCCAGGCAAAUCCGGAAAAUCAAGGCUGAGGCGUGAUGACGAGGCACUACGGUGCUGAAGCAACAAAUGCCCUGCUUCCAGGAAAAGCCUCUAAGCAUCAGGUAACAUCAAAUCGUACCCCAAACCGACACAGGUGGUCAGGUAGAGAAUACCAAGGCGCUUGAGAGAACUCGGGUGAAGGAACUAGGCAAAAUGGUGCCGUAACUUCGGGAGAAGGCACGCUGAUAUGUAGGUGAAGUCCCUCGCGGAUGGAGCUGAAAUCAGUCGAAGAUACCAGCUGGCUGCAACUGUUUAUUAAAAACACAGCACUGUGCAAACACGAAAGUGGACGUAUACGGUGUGACGCCUGCCCGGUGCCGGAAGGUUAAUUGAUGGGGUCAGCGCAAGCGAAGCUCUUGAUCGAAGCCCCGGUAAACGGCGGCCGUAACUAUAACGGUCCUAAGGUAGCGAAAUUCCUUGUCGGGUAAGUUCCGACCUGCACGAAUGGCGUAAUGAUGGCCAGGCUGUCUCCACCCGAGACUCAGUGAAAUUGAACUCGCUGUGAAGAUGCAGUGUACCCGCGGCAAGACGGAAAGACCCCGUGAACCUUUACUAUAGCUUGACACUGAACAUUGAGCCUUGAUGUGUAGGAUAGGUGGGAGGCUUAGAAGUGUGGACGCCAGUCUGCAUGGAGCCGACCUUGAAAUACCACCCUUUAAUGUUUGAUGUUCUAACG